UCGCAGCUUGCGCCGGCAGUCCCGCCAGAGUCCCCAGCUUUGCCUGUUGGCAACUGGCGGUAGGGGUUGCGCUCGUUAUGGCACUUAAGCCGACACCUCACGGCACGAGCUGACGACAACCAUGCAGCACCUCGUCGCAGGUCCGUAGACGGGCAUCCUUUCAGACACCCUUCCUGCAACGUUUGAGCCCGGGUAAGGUUCCUCGCGUAUCAUCGAAUUAAACCACAUGUUCCUCCGCUUGUGCGGGCCCCCGUCAAUUCCUUUGAGUUUCACCGUUGCCGGCGUACUCCCCAGGUGGAGCGCUUAACGCUUUCGCUGUGGCACCCAGGGGCCAUUCCCCCCGGACACCUAGCGCUCAUCGUUUACCGCGUGGACUAC
rnacentral:misc_RNA from 1 species